AAGCACAAUUGCCCGGAAUGCCCGAAAAAGUACACAUCGGAACGACGUCUCAAGCAUCAUAUCGUUGUACACCGCAAUCCGGACGCCUAUAAAUGUCAAAAAUGUGGAUAUUGCUAUCAGAGCCCAGAUAGUCUCCGGAGACACUGGAAGAAAACUCCGAAUUGUGACGAGUUUCCGCCGAAGAUUAAUGUGAAAACAGAGAUUUUGGACCCGGAUUCAUGA
rnacentral:misc_RNA from 1 species